rnacentral:sRNA from 1 species
UCCUCUCCUAUGACCGCGACGAGGGCGGCGCG